rnacentral:rRNA from 2 species
GGAUGCGAUCAUACCAGCACUAAAGCACCGGAUCCCAUCAGAACUCCGAAGUUAAGCUUGGUUGGGCGAGAGUAGUACUAGGAUGGGUGACCUCCUGGGAAGUCCUCGUGUUGCAUUCC